rnacentral:rRNA from 1 species
GGCCGCGGGAAUUCGAUUGAGUUUGAUCAUGGCUCAGGAUGAACGCUAGCGGCAGGCCUAACACAUGCAAGUCGAGGGGUAGAACACUUCGGUGUUUGAGACCGGCGCACGGGUGCGUAACGCGUAUGCAAUCUCCUUGUACAGGGGAAUAGCCCAGAGAAAUUUGGAUUAAUGCCCCAUAGUAUAUAACCUUCGCAUGUUGGUUAUAUUAAAGUUCCAACGGUACAAGAUGAGCAUGCGUCCCAUUAGUUAGUUGGUAAGGUAACGGCUUACCAAGACGAUGAUGGGUAGGGGUCCUGAGAGGGAGAUCCCCCACACUGGUACUGAGACACGGACCAGACUCCUACGGGAGGCAGCAGUGAGGAAUAUUGGUCAAUGGUCGCAAGACUGAACCAGCCAUGCCGCGUGUAGGAAGACGGUCCUAUGGAUUGUAAACUGCUUUUAUACAGGAAGAAACCCUCCCACGUGUGGGAGCUUGACGGUACUGUAGGAAUAAGGAUCGGCUAACUCCGUGCCAGCAGCCGCGGUAAUACGGAGGAUCCAAGCGUUAUCCGGAAUCAUUGGGUUUAAAGGGUCCGUAGGCGGUCUUAUAAGUCAGUGGUGAAAGCCCAUCGCUCAACGAUGGAACUGCCAUUGAUACUGUAAGACUUGAAUGCUUAGGAAGUAACUAGAAUAUGUAG